GAAACAAAGCUGCGGCUGCACCAUCGUAAGAGUUUAGAUCAAAAGAAAUAUAUAAAGUCGGGAAAAAAGAAGGAAGUAGCAUAUACUCACGCUUCAUGUUCCACUCCUUGGGGAACGAACUCCAAUCAGCAGGAAUGAGAUCGGAGGUCUUGACUCGGAAAAACUGGCUUAUCCACCCAUGGUCUUUGUCCUUAUCGAUACUAACAAAAAGAGAUUUUAAGGAACGGUAUUGGAAAUUUAUCAAGCCUCCCCGAUAAAGUCAAGGAAUGUACAAUCUGAUAAAAUGGCCGAGGGUUAAGGAUAUUCCUUGAUUAUGCUCGAAACGAAACUGCUUAAGUAAACAUUUCUCCAGAAGAAGGGGUAGAUCUAGACGAGCAUCACUCGGUACUACUGACAAAAGUCGAGGAUAACCAGAUCUAUGGGAUCCUAGGUCGGAAUUGUAGGGCCUAGUGUAAAUGGGUAAGUAUAUACACUCAAGUACCCGCUUUGUAUAUGGGGAUAUCUUCUUCAGAGUAAGGAAUCACUACUUUUGUAUUGUCUUAUCCACAAGCCUCUUUUACUUUAUCAAGCUCGGCCUUGGUCACCAAACAAAUAUAUCGAGUGGAUGUUUUAGCCAUCACUAUGCAGUAGAUCCAAGAAGAUAAAAAAUGUUGUUAGUAAAGAGAAGGGAGAGUUCGAGGAAAUUGAAGAAUACUAAAUGAGACUUUAGAAGCAUUGAGGGAAUAAAGCUUGUAAGGUUAUGGGACUUGUCUAUUUAUAAAGAAUGUAUAAGCGUGCUGAGGAAACCAAAAGCCCGACCGUCAGCCACCUAUAGUGAAUGGUUUGGGAAUCGUACAAAAAGCAACCCUUCAAUCACUUCAACAACUUAUGUCAUGAUAUUGACAUCAAGACCUAGGCAUCGAAAAGUUUUGUCAAAAAUCAUUAAGGACAAUCUAUAAGUUUAGUUCAAGCAAGUACUCACUCGACUACUAAGCGCAAGGGCUCCCCAAGUUUGAGCAAAUUCUUACUUGGGAAAAUGCUCACUCGACUAUUAAGCCCAAGGGCUACCCGAGUUUGAGCAAAUUCUCAUUCGGGGACUAUCUAUAAAGCAUAAGGCUAUCUUUAUUUUGAGUUCGAGAAAAUGCUCACUCGACUUUUAAGCCCAAGGGCUAUUCGAGUUCGAGCAAAUACUCAUUCGGCAACUAUCUACAAACCUAAGGGCUAUCUUUAUUUCAAGUUCGAGCAAAACUCACUCGACUACUAAGCCCAAAGGCUACCUGAGUUCAAGAAAAUUCUCACCCGAGGACAAUCUACGAAGCCUAAAAGAGCUAACUCUAUUUCAAAUUCGAGACCUUACUCUCACUUAACUCAGACUCAAAGACCCUAGUGUCUCAAGCUCGCAUCAAAUCAAUCUAAGCUUAGUUUGAGGAUUAACAAAGAACCUUAAGGGAUGUUAUAUUAGUCGAUUUAAACCUAAGGGUUUAUUAUAUUUUGGGUCCAGUAUUCGGACUAAUCGUUAGAGUUAUACACUCGGACUCUUCACAAAUGAAGGUGUCACACACCCGUUAUUUUUACUAACUCUCACUUAACCCUAUUAAAUUAAUAAAAAGAUUUCACAAAGCUCGAAAGGAUUUUCCAAUUUUGAAAGUGAUAAAAAUCGUGUCCAAAAGGAAAUAACUCAGAGUGGCCACCUGAAAUUUGAUUCAGUAUGCCAGGUGACCGUUUUUAAAAUUGAUUUUCAUUUUAAAACACAUAGGACUCCAAAACUAAGUCUGCACUAGAGAUUCAUGUAAGGGGAUUCAUUUGACCCUGGGAGAAGGUGUUGGCAUUCCCCGAGUCCCAUAACUAGUACGGUUGCGUACUUGAUCAAGUUGGCUUUUAAAAUAUUCACGUUGAGGUAAAAUUACAGAAAAAGAAAAUAAACACACAACAAGUUCGAGGUUAUCCCCACCUAAACAAAAAAAAUAAAAUAAGAAAAAUAAUAAAAUCCUAUACGACAUUCACUCUACCAUGUCCGUCACAGCCUCCAAUUACAUAAUACUACGGGGCAUUUCCCGGAAUAAAUGUGUAUAAUUCCUUUGGGGCAUUUCUCAGAUAAAUUUAACUAAAGAAUGACCUCUCACCUCAAAAUCCAAACAAAAUCUGAAGGCUUGCCUAUCCAAAUGUGGUCGGCCUAAGCAUGCUCCUAUCAAUAAAUGUAUGAAAUAUAUAAAUAAGAUGAAGUUAAACUAACUAAGAUUAUUUCAUGCUCAUUUUUUUAGUUCUUGAUUUCAUUCAUUUAAACCAAACCCAAUUCCUACAACGUAUGAAAUAUUUAGCAAAGGACGGUAGUCAAAUCAACUUUCUAUGAAAAAGAAUAUGCUUGUUGGCAUAGCAGAAGCAUCACGUGAAUUAAAUUAAUGUGCCGUCAUUUUCUUAGCAAGUUAACUCUUAAUAUUCAGCAUAAAUCCCACACAAGUUGCAAAACACCAUAUCAAAGCAAACAGAUAAGCAAAACUCACCACAGAGAUCAAACUAAAAAUUUAGGUACGGGAAAGGGAGAUGAACUAGAAAUUGCUCUUUAAAUAUAGAAAUUCGAGCAGUUAUAGGAAUAUAGUAGAGAAAAAUUGAGCGACCAAUGAAUCUUGAACAAUGAAUCUCGACCAAAUUUCCGAACGAAAACAGCAAAUCCGGACUGGAACACUCGAACGGCGAUCAACAAUAGUAAACUCGAAACAAUUACAGCUCAAUCAAAUUCCAUAAUCAAAACCAAAAUUUGAAGAAAAUUAAUGAAGAAGCAGAAUUCUCUUUUUUCUGAAUUUAAAAAUGAAAACAAAAUUUGAAUCAAGAACUUGAAUCGUUCCCUGCCUCUACUUUUUUCAUUUCUGUCCGAAGCUGCCCAAAUUCCCUCAUUCUGUCGCUAUCUGUGUAUGUAUUGUGGUCGCAGGAAUUAGAGACGGAGGUGUAGAUGGGGUCGCUGGCUAAAUGGCUGGCGGCAAUGGCUAGUAACUGCUGUUGUUGUUGGGUGUUUACCGGAUUUCCGGCUAAACACGCCGGUGGAGUUGGUUUGCGGUGGCCCCUAGGGUUUUCUUGAAGAUGGGGUCGUUAGUUCUUUUGGUGGUGAGCGGCUGUGAGUUGGGGUGGUGUGUUCGUCGGUUUAGGGUCUGGCAGUGGCUGGUCCUUGGUAUUGCCCAGGUGGGGUGGGCGGCGGCUGACUUAGAUGAUGAAGAAGGUGACAGCUUCCGGGGGGUCUGGCGGCGGCGCUGGUCUUAGGGGUUCUAAGGCUUUUUCUUGUGUUCAAGGUUGAGAAGAAGAUGAAGUAGCUAGGUGUUUUGUUGUAUUGUCUUUCUAGAUGAGGAAGAAGGCAGCUACGUCUGGUGUCUCUAAGGUUAAGGUCUCCAAAUUGUAAAAUCACGCUCCCUGGUCUUUCCAUCCCAGGGUGUCUAGUUUAUUAGGAUAUUAGGGUUAGGUUAGUAAGUAUUGGACCUUGGAUUAGCCCGAUUCGAAUUGGGUCAAAUUUGGCCAAAUAUACCAUUAAAAGUGGCAUUUAAUUUUACUAGACUAAAAAUAUUAAUUCCUAAAAUAAUAUGCAAUAAAAUUGUGAAAUUGCUCCUAAUUAAUUAAUUUGACAUAUAUUAUGACACAAAAUUAAUUUGUUUUGUAUUUUCAGGAGAUUAUACUAAAAAUAAAAAUACGUUAUAAAUAAUAUUUUUCUAAAUGAUACCUAAUACCUUAAUUAAAUAAAAAAAUGAAACUAUUUUUUUAUUUUUUAAUUUUAUAAUAAAAAUAAUGUAAAAGAGUCAAAAUUAGUUGAAAUAACUAUAUUAGACCUAAACUGAGUAUUUAAAUGCUAAAAUAUGUAAAAUCUUGGGGAGGAUCAGAAAUCACAUGUCUACAGCUGUCCUUCUUUGACUGUAAACAUGAAGUGUUUUUAGACAAAUAACGACUAGACAGGUUUUUGACCCAACUCUUAUUUAGAGCGACAAAAAACUAAAUGAGAGGAGAAUGUGACCAAGCUUUGGUAUUUGAGUUGCCUACAUAUCCUUGGCUAUAAAGGAAUCAGGCCACAUGUAGUUCAGAAGUAGGAACAGUGAUGGAGUGUAUAGAGGUAGAGAGCAGAUUGAGGUAUCGUUCCGUCGAGGUUCCGGUCCAUGAUCUUGUUAUUACAUCAAAAUCAAAAUGAAAAAGACUAACUAAACGUGUUAGCUAUGAGUUAUAAAAUUCCUAUCUAUAAGUCUUCUAAAGCUUGAUCUUGAGUCUUGAAUGGUUCUUCAUGCAGACUUUAGAUUUGAACCUUGACGCUUAUUAGCUGUAGGUGCUAGCUCGUUCUUCUUCAGAGACCGGACAUGUAGUGCUUGUGACAUCAGCCAUGUCUUGAGCAGCUCACAUUUUCAUCUACUUCUGCAUUUGGAUUCACUUCUUGUUUUUUUGGAUUGUGGCUAACUUCUGUUGAUCAUUUCAGACUGUUGACUCGCAUUCUUGAUGUGAUCUUCUGCUACUUCUAUCUUGAAUUGAAUUCUUAAAUGACUUCUCUCGUUCUCUAGGUGGGUGCUUGCUACUGACUUGAAACUUGAAAUGACUCUGAAGUAAACUCUGAAAUAUCUUCCCUCAUUUUUCAGGUAGUUGUCUGCUACGGACUCAAAACUUGAGAUCACAUCCCUCGUUCUCCAGGAGGGCGUCUGCCAAUAGCUUGACUUUUAAAUAAUUUCCUUCAUUCUCCAAAUGGGUGUCUGCCAAUAGCUUGACUUUGAAAUAAUUUCCCUAAUUCUCCAGGUGGACGCCUGAUUGCCCAAAACUUUAACUAUAUUCCCUCGUUAUCCAGGUGGGCACCUGAUUGCUAAAACUUAAACUAUAUUCCAUCGUUAUCCAAAUGGGCGUCUAAUUGCUAAAACUUGAACUGUAUUCCCUCGUUAUCCAAGUGCAUACACAAUGGCAUUCAAUUAACCUGACAUAAUAUCUAGUACUUGAUGAAUUAUCCAAUGUACCUACUUGAUAAACACAAGAGCUACUGUUUCCAUUCAAAUUCCAGGAUGGCUAAGUUAUCCAAAUAACAUUCAACACUUAUCGCAACAAUAGCCGCAAAAACUUUGCAAUACUACGGAAUAUUCUUCACAAACACAACAAUAACAAUAACAACAACCCAGUAUAAUCCCAUUUAGUAGGGUCUGGGGAGGGUAGUGUGUACGCAUACCUUACCCCUAUCCUGGGGUAGAGAGGCUGUUUCCAAAAUAGACCCCAGGCAUCCUUCCCUCCAAAAACUUGCCACAUUGCUCUUGAAGAGACUCGAAUUCACAAUCUCUCGGUUGAAAGUGGAGGUUGCUUACCAUCAGAGCAACCCCUCUUGUCAUCAUGAAAGGAAAAGAAUAUUCUCCAAAACACGUGAAAGGAGAAUCUUAAUUUGUUCAAAAGAUAACAAACUCAUUUCUUUCUUUAAUUUUUUUUGUUUACGUAUCUUUAGAUAAUGUAACCAACUUCAACUUAGCAACAAGCUAAAGAUUACAAGAUGCACUCGGUCAGUGAAGAUCAGCAAAAACAAAUUUCAACCGUAAACACCAACACUAACACAACUAUAUCAUAAAGAAUUUCACACUCUAAUCGAAUCACAACCUAACAGAAUCAUUGAUAAUAUAAAUUAAACAACGAAAACCGUACAGAAUUUCAUAUGCUCAACACUAUAUCAUACAAAUCCGAUUAGUAUAAAGUGAAAGUUACAUGGUUGAGUGGGGUGAAUAAUACCUUGAAAGCAGUAGCAAGUCUUUAAAAUUGCCAAAUAAUGGCUGAAAAUGCUAGCUAAUAAUUCCAGUGCAAGCAGCAACAAACACAGCAAAACAACCUUGAAUCUGAGCUUUAACGGCCUCUUAGAUCGAUUAUUGUUCUUCUGUUUCGUCCAAGUGAACAAAGUGAAGUUUUACUCUUCUCUUUUUGUUUUCCUAGAUCUCAGGUGCUCUCUGCUUUUUGUGUGUCCAAAAACAAGAAGAAGAUGGAGGGUCUUAAAAAUGUGAAAGAUAAGGAGCCAAAUUCCGACGGAAGAAGGGGGCUGGAACGCUACUGUUUUUUUAGAGUCCUGGUGUGCGUUUUUGUUGAAGAAGAAAGAAAGUUGAUGGGGUCCGUGCCAUUUCUGCAAUUUCUUUGAGAAAACAAAUGAAGAAGAUGAACGGGGGGUCCCCUUUCCAAAAGCUGCGGAUCCUCCGAUCUCCGAAUUGGGAUAAAGGGUAAUGGGUAUUUUGGGUGUAGUAUUGGGUUGGGAAAAUUCAUUUAAAGAGAAAACAUCGGGCCAAAUUUGG
rnacentral:lncRNA from 1 species